GACGAACGCUGGCGGCGUGCCUAAUACAUGCAAGUCGAGCGGACAGAAGGGAGCUUGCUCCCGGAAGUUAGCGGCGGACGGGUGAGUAACACGUGGGCAACCUACCCUGUAGAUCGGGAUAACAUCGAGAAAUCGGUGCUAAUACCGGAUAAUCAUUUUAAGUGCAUGCUUCGAAUGUAAAAGAUGGCUCAGGCUAUCACUACGGGAUGGGCCCGCGGCGCAUUAGCUAGUUGGUAAGGUAAUGGCUUACCAAGGCAAGGAUGCGUAGCCGACCUGAGAGGGUGAUAGGCCACACUGGGACGGUGACACGGCCCAGACUCCUGCGGGAGGCAGCAGGAGGGAAUCUUCCGCGAAGGACGAAAGUCUGAAUGAGCAACGCCGCGUGAGUGAUGAAGGUAUACAGAUCGUAAAGCUCUGUUGUGAGGGAAGGACAAGUGCCGUUUGAAUAAGGCGGCACCUUGACGGUACCUAACCAGAAAGCCACGGCUAACUACGUGCCAGCAGCCGCGGUAAAAC
rnacentral:rRNA from 1 species